rnacentral:rRNA from 1 species
CCUACGGGAGGCAGCAGUGAGGAAUAUUGCGCAAUGGGCGAAAGCCUGACGCAGCAACGCCGCGUGGAUGAUGAAGCUCUAAGGAGUGUAAAGUCCUGUUAGGAGGGACGAAUGAUGCCGAUGUGAAUAAUAUUGGCAUGUGACGGUACCUCCAGAGAAAGCCCCGGCUAACUCCGUGCCAGCAGCCGCGGUAAUACGGGGGGGGCAAGCGUUGUCCGGAAUCAUUGGGCGUAAAGGGCGCGUAGGUGGAAUGGUAAGUUAGAGGUGAAAACUAUGGGCUUAACUCAUAGCCUGCCUCUAAAACUGCUAUUCUUGAGUAUGGAAGAGGGAAGUGGAAUUCCUGGUGUAGCGGUGAAAUGCGUAGAUAUCAGGAAGAACACCGGUAGCGAAGGCGACUUUCUGGUCCAUAACUGACACUGAGGCGCGAAAGCGUGGGGAGCAAACAGGAUUAGAUACCCUGGUAGUCCACGCUGUAAACGAUGGGCACUAGGUGUUGGUCCCGUUCCAACGGGAUCAGUGCCGCAGCUAACGCAUUAAGUGCCCCGCCUGGGGAGUACGAUCGCAAGGUUGAAACUCAAAGGAAUUGACGG